rnacentral:rRNA from 1 species
GACAGAGGUGCCAAGCGUUAGGCGGAAUCACUGGGCUUAAAGCGUGUGUAGGCGGACUCGUAAGUACCUUGUGAAAUCCCACAGCUCAACUGUGGAACUGCUUGGUAUACUGCUUGUCUUGAGCCACUUAGGGGCUGUCGGAACAAACGGUGGAGCGGUGAAAUGCGUAGAUAUCUGGAGGAAUACCGGUGGCGAAGGCGGCAUCCUGGACCGGCAUUGACGCUGAGGAGCGAAAGCUAGGGGAGCAAACGGG